GCACAUGGUGGAAAAAGUCACUAAGUCAGGCAGUGUGCCAUCAAGAGCCACUACCUAUGUGUAUAUCUGCAGAUGAGAUGAUGCUUAAUUUCGCCUCUCUUCCAUCGUCAACAAAUAAGAAUAUAAGAUACCAAUAAUUAAGCUAGUAGCUAGAGCAAAACACAAUAUAAUGUGUCGUUCUCUGCCUGGAUGCUCGUCCAUUUUGUGUACAUACGAUAUGGGACUUAGAGGCAUCGGAAAUUUAGAGCUCUAUGCUACAGUACUAUGUGCAAGUAUCACAUUUCAGAUGGGGAGAAGGCUUGGAUGACAACUGCAUAUAUAGCUAUGUGCCAACUUGCUCCUAUACCGGAUUGCUUCUCGAUCUCUUGUAAUCAUGGAAAUAUGCAUCUCUCUCACUCACUCUUGGAUCGGCAGGAGAUGCCCCCGUUCUAGCAUAAGCCACUCAAAGAUGAGAAAAUUAUGAAGGAACAAAACUCAUACUCCGCACCAUCCCUAAAAGACUGUUGUUUUAGUUAGUUAAAGACAAAUUAAGCAAGAGGAUGAAAGUCUACUAUGCCCUUCAUUAAUAUGGGAGAGAAAACGAGGAGAAUGAUAGAAAUGCCUAUCGAUAAAAAUAAGUUCGGAAUAGUCAGGAAUUUCGAGGGGUAAUUAGUUAAUUUGUUUCUUCUUGUAUGGUUAUUAGGAGAGUAGGAAUUCUAUGUUGGAUUAUUAUUAGGACACUUGAACUUUAGUGUUCCCUGGUAUAAGGGCUCCUUUGAAACAUUAGAAAAUUAUAGGAUUUCUGUUGCAAUUAUUUUAAUACUAUUAAAUUAAAUUUCUCUAAAAUACUCCAUUCAAAAGGAGGCCUCAAAAUUUUACACAAAGUUGUGAAAUAGUGCACUGAACUAAUAAACUUGAUUAAUUUGUAGCUUGUAAAAUUAUACAUUUUCAGCUUGUUCUCUUUAAAAGUUGAACGUACGUACAGGCAUAUAUGUUGGAUGGUUCUCGGUUAAUCGGUAGAUUCAAGAUUAAGAAUUUACAAACGUAAAAGAAAAAAACAUGUCUUUUUCGUACCACUAUCCCAAAGUUAAGCACACAUGCAUGGUCACAUGCCCUUUAUUAACUAGUCUUGUACCAUUGACACUUACUCCUAUUAAUUCUUUACGGCCAUAACUACAAUAAUAAUAUGGAUUGAGAACUUAAACCCAAUAACAGGUAAUCAUGGGCAUGGAUCCAGAACAAUAUUAAAGGGUGAAUUCAUUUCCUUCUUCUUUGUUUAGUCCCCCUACUCUUCCUCUUCUCCCUCUUCUUCCCCCCUUUCUCUCUCCUUCUAUCAAUGGUGAUCCAGCGGGAUAGGGGGACUUGAGUCCCUCCAACACCCACGCUGGAUCCACCCUUGCUAGUGAUCAACUAGUGUUCUUCUUGUCUAUAUAUACACAGCUACACUACUUUCAUGAUCUCUUCUUCUCUGCUCAAGAGAAACCCCAGAUGCAUGCGGCUCGAGCUUGAAAGAGUAACAAAAACAUACAUGUAACUAUUAUGUAAUUAAGCAUGAGAGACAUCGGGAAAUUUCAGUUUGGGCCGACUGGGCAAAUCUAGACAAGAAUGAGGAGCAUCAGUGCGGGACUUUACUGUUAUACUCAAAAGUUACUGGAACAAUGGUGUUAGCAAGAUCCUCUGUACUUUUAACCAGUGACAGAGCCAGAAUCUGCUAAAGAUUAGAGCUAAUCUGGGACUCAACUAACAGAUUAUUGAUUUUGCUUCUAAAAUAUUACAUGAUGAUUUAAGAUAAUUUAUACGUAAUUUUGGAGACAAACAUAGGAUUAACCCUUAGGCCCCUAGCUGUUCUAUGUUUGCUAACACGCUGCUUUGGGUGAACCACCACCUUACCAAGUUACGUUUUUAGAACGAACUCUCCGCGACCGACUUCAAUGUGCAUUGUUUGUUUAACAGCGAUCUGUCACUUGGAGUAUUAAUUUGCCAUUUCAUCUGGCAAAUUUAAGAAAUUUAUUUAGCCGUUUAUAUACUUGUACCUGCAUCCUCGCUUUGCGCUGAAUAAAACUUUGGCCCCUAAAUAAAA